UGCAACUACGCAGCAAUUGUCAAGGUAAGGUUUGCAAUGGACCUCAAGGUUAUUUCUGGGGUGCCUAUAUAAGUUGCUGGUUUGUCCAGAUAAGACAGUCGUCAACAAAUCGCGGAAGAUACCUCAACACCAUGUUCAAACUGUUUAUUCUUCUUGUCGCCCUGUUGGCUGUUCUGGCCGCAGUGAGAGCAGCCCCUCAGAUCCUUGCCGUUCCCUAUGGCUACGGUUACUAUGGCACCUACGGCUAUCCCUACAGCUAUGGCACUUACUUGUACCGUUAAGAUCACGGUGAAAGCAUCUGUUAAUAUUGCAGCUUUCAGACCAUCUUCAACUAGCAGUGUACUACAGACUUCAAAUAUGGCAGCUAUUAUGAAUUCUUCAACUGUUCAUUAAACUUGCCUGUAAUUUGUUUCCUAUUUUGUUCUUUAAAAUAAAAUUAUAAAGAAAACCAGCUUGUUCCUGACAUGGAAUUCUAAACAUACAAAAACAAAUUUUGAGCCCAAAAUAUUCUUUUUCAUAAUGCACCAAGCAGGGGAGGGGGAUGGUGGUAGUGGUGAAAUGUAAAUACAUAAGAUUUAUCUUAUAUUAUUUUCUACUAUUAUAGCAACAAUAAGUUCUUGGAGAAAUUUAUUACACUAAUUUUCUUGAAAUACUUCCAUCUGAUAAAAAGAAUUAAUAUUUCAUGUAAUUAUGUGGACAGUUUUAUUAAAAUUUCAAGCUUGUUUCUUCACAGUGUUUAAAUUAUAAAAACAUGUAAUGCACCAAAUUUCACGCACAUGCAUACAUACACUGUUUGUUGUUGAUGACAUGUUCUACAUCCUUCGGUUUAGUCCUAAGAAGAAUCUUUGGAAUGCAAAUAAACUCUACUCCACUUAGAGUAUUUUGCAAUUACAAUGCUAGAAUGUGAAUAAGGUGAGAAAGAAACAAGCCAGCCAAACCAAGAUAUAGAAAAACAUUCAAACAACCAACCAAUGAGCUGAUAAACAUAAAUGUACUUGGAAGGGAAAUCUGUGAUUAAGGCAGAAGAGAAGAUGCAAUCUAUCAUUUCUGUGGAUAGCUGUUCUAAAAUGAAUGGAUUCUAUGCCUAAACUAGAAAGAAUAAAUUUGUGAACUUUAA